UACGUAGGGACCAAGCGUUGUUCGGAUUUACUGGGCGUAAAGGGCGCGUAGGCGGCGUGGUAAGUCAAUUGUGAAAUCUCCGAGCUUAACUCGGAACGGUCAAUUGAUACUGCUGUGCUAGAGUGCAGAAAGGGCAAUCGGAAUUCUUGGUGUAGCGGUGAAAUGCGUAGAUAUCAGGAGGAACACCGGUGGCGAAGGCGGGUCUCUGGGCCGUAACUGACGCUGGAGGAGCGAAAAGCGUGGGAGCGAACAGG
rnacentral:rRNA from 1 species